AGAGGGUUUCAUCAAAAAAAAAAAAGAAAUAGAGAGAGGGGAUGAGGGCGGGGACACGGAGAAAGAAACAGAGAAAGAGGCACAGUUCCUAAGGCGUCAAGAGAAAGAGAGUUCAUUGUGCAUUACAAUCAAGAGGGAAAGAUAGUAGAGUUCGUCGGAACCAUUCACUGAACAGCAAAAACAAUCCCCUUCACUCCAUAUUCGGAAGGUACGCAUUGAAUUUUUCUGGAACUUCUUACCGGCGAAGAGAGAAAUAUCUAAGGCUGGCCACCACCAUCAGUUUCCCCAUCACCGUCCGAUCCUUGCCAGAUUUAGACCACCAGAUCGCCAGAACCAACAUCGACAAUGGGGAGAAGAAUUUAGAAAUUUCUCUGCAAGCAUUGCAAAUGAUUGAUAUUCAAGACUCACCAAAUUUGGGGAACUACAGAUUUUUUGGUAUCUCCUUUCCUGUCAAUAAAAAAUGGCCCAAGAGAAGAUUACCCAUUUUCCAAUAAUACAGAAACAAAGUGCUUCUGAUUUGGCAUAGGAUUCUUCUGCAUUGUCAAGGAUACUUGGACACAACCUGUAUUUGGGGUCUAUUCUUCUUAUAGUGACCUAAGCCAGUCUUCAAUCGGCCAAAACUUUGAAACAAACACAUUCUUAGUUGGUGGCUUCAUAUUUUGUGGAUCUUAAAGAUUUGGUCGAGUGGUGGGUUAACUUUUAUCUGUCCUAAAGAGCUAAAUUUUGGGUACAAGAAUGCUAUUUCCUGGCAGCAAAAGAAGAGGUCCAGGUCCUUCCUAACAACAUGCUCUUUGGUGGUACUUAAGUGUAAGGUUUGUCAGAGUGGUCGAGAAUUUUUUUAAAGUUAUUUCCGUAAUCUCACUUUAAUAGCAACAACUGGAUAAAUCUUAUUUCUUGCUGCCAGAGUGGUUAACAAUUGCACAUGGCCUAAAUGGGUGUUAAUUUGAAUGCUAUGUGAUUAAAGUUCAUUAAAAUUUAUAGUUAUGACAACUGGAAAAGUUAAGGAAGUAUUCAAUCUGACUCAGGAGCAUACUAGAGUGAGAUGACAAGACAAAAGGUUGCUGAACAACCUUGAGAAAACAUCCGAUGAAGAAAUUACGAGAUUAAACGCAAUGUUCAAAGGCAUGAUUGUUGACAACUUUGGGCUUACAAGAUUUAGAGAUGAAGCAUGAAGCAAAACAGAGCAAAGACAGAGGGGAUAUGCGGCUGGAGAAGAGGAAGAAAAAAUGAUAUAUGAAUAGUGUGUGUUGUAGGGUUUAUAUGCUAACUAAAGGAAGAUAAGUGGGCUAACUAAAGGACAAGUCCUCCAACGGCUACUGUGCAGAUUUGAUGCCCAACGGGCUAUUAAUUAAAUGCCUAACGGGCUGCUGAGAUGCUCACCAACGGACAUAACAAAAUUAAAUCAAAUUUGGGCUAAAAGAAAGUAAGGGAAAAGGUGAGGCCCAAGAAUGAUGUAACAAACCCAAACCCAAACCCAAGCCCAAGCCCAAGCCCAAGAAUGAUGUACACCCUGCAAAGCUUUGGUAUGAUCGCUAAUUAUGUAUUCCAUCUUAGUCUUUUCAAAUCA